rnacentral:rRNA from 1 species
ACUUAAAUUGAAGAGUUUGAUCAUGGCUCAGAUUGAACGCUGGCGGCAGGCCUAACACAUGCAAGUCGAGCGGUAGCACAGAGAGCUUGCUCUCGGGUGACGAGCGGCGGACGGGUGAGUAAUGUCUGGGAAACUGCCUGAUGGAGGGGGAUAACUACUGGAAACGGUAGCUAAUACCGCAUAACGUCGCAAGACCAAAGAGGGGGACCUUCGGGCCUCUUGCCAUCAGAUGUGCCCAGAUGGGAUUAGCUAGUAGGUGGGGUAACGGCUCACCUAAGCGACGAUCCCUAGCUGGUCUGAGAGGAUGACCAGCCACACUGGAACUGAGACACGGUCCAGACUCCUACGGGAGGCAGCAGUGGGGAAUAUUGCACAAUGGGCGCAAGCCUGAUGCAGCCAUGCCGCGUGUAUGAAGAAGGCCUUCGGGUUGUAAAGUACUUUCAGCGGGGAGGAAGGCGUUGAGGUUAAUAACCUCAGCGAUUGACGUUACCCGCAGAAGAAGCACCGGCUAACUCCGUGCCAGCAGCCGCGGUAAUACGGAGGGUGCAAGCGUUAAUCGGAAUUACUGGGCGUAAAGCGCACGCAGGCGGUCUGUCAAGUCGGAUGUGAAAUCCCCGGGCUCAACCUGGGAACUGCAUUCGAAACUGGCAGGCUAGAGUCUUGUAGAGGGGGGUAGAAUUCCAGGUGUAGCGGUGAAAUGCGUAGAGAUCUGGAGGAAUACCGGUGGCGAAGGCGGCCCCCUGGACAAAGACUGACGCUCAGGUGCGAAAGCGUGGGGAGCAAACAGGAUUAGAUACCCUGGUAGUCCACGCCGUAAACGAUGUCGACUUGGAGGUUGUGCCCUUGAGGCGUGGCUUCCGGAGCUAACGCGUUAAGUCGACCGCCUGGGGAGUACGGCCGCAAGGUUAAAACUCAAAUGAAUUGACGGGGGCCCGCACAAGCGGUGGAGCAUGUGGUUUAAUUCGAUGCAACGCGAAGAACCUUACCUACUCUUGACAUCCAGAGAACUUAGCAGAGAUGCUUUGGUGCCUUCGGGAACUCUGAGACAGGUGCUGCAUGGCUGUCGUCAGCUCGUGUUGUGAAAUGUUGGGUUAAGUCCCGCAACGAGCGCAACCCUUAUCCUUUGUUGCCAGCGGUUAGGCCGGGAACUCAAAGGAGACUGCCAGUGAUAAACUGGAGGAAGGUGGGGAUGACGUCAAGUCAUCAUGGCCCUUACGAGUAGGGCUACACACGUGCUACAAUGGCGCAUACAAAGAGAAGCGACCUCGCGAGAGCAAGCGGACCUCAUAAAGUGCGUCGUAGUCCGGAUUGGAGUCUGCAACUCGACUCCAUGAAGUCGGAAUCGCUAGUAAUCGUAGAUCAGAAUGCUACGGUGAAUACGUUCCCGGGCCUUGUACACACCGCCCGUCACACCAUGGGAGUGGGUUGCAAAAGAAGUAGGUAGCUUAACCUUCGGGAGGGCGCUUACCACUUUGUGAUUCAUGACUGGGGUGAAGUCGUAACAAGGUAACCGUAGGGGAACCUGCGGUUGGAUCACCUCCUUACCUUA